GGGGGCGGCGCGGCGGCUUAAUGCAGUAUGGCGGCGACGGCUGGAGCUUGCAGGGGAAGGAUCCGUGCGCGGCAGGUGCUAGGGAGGCGAAUCCGGAGGAAGGCGGCGAGGCGGGGGUCGCCGGUGACGACGAAGAAGACAGUAGCGCGGCUUCCCGGGGCGGGUCAAUGGAAUCCGCGGCUCCAGGCAGAAAGGAGAUAUGGAGGUGAGGGAGAGAAGAUGGGGGAAAGGAGGGGUGGUGCGGCGACCUAGGAAGGAGCUCGCCGGAGCUCGACGACGGCGGACGGGCGCGGGAGACAGAGGGAUUCGGUGCCGCUGCUACUCUCCUGGUCGCUGCCUCGCCUCCCUGGUAUUCCUCCUCUCACCUCUCCUACCUUGACGACAUCUGCUGCGUCGCCCACGGCCCAGGCCUCGGCCCCACAUCACCAACAUCUCCGCCUCAAGCACACCUGCCACUGCACCCAGCGGCUCGUCGCCAUGACCGUAUCCAGCAAG
rnacentral:rRNA from 1 species